AGAGUUUGAUCCUGGCUCAGAUUGAACGCUGGCGGCAUGCCUUACACAUGCAAGUCGAACGGUAGAGUAGCAAUACUCGAGAGUGGCGAACGGGUGAGUAAUAUAUCGGAACGUGCCCAGUCGUGGGGGAUAACGUAGAGAAAUUUACGCUAAUACCGCAUACGAUCUACGGAUGAAAGCGGGGGAUUCGCAAGAACCUCGCGCGAUUGGAGCGGCUGAUAUCAGAUUAGGUUGUUGGUGAGGUAAAAGCUCACCAAGCCGACGAUCUGUAGCUGGUUUGAGAGAACGACCAGCCACACUGGGACUGAGACACGGCCCAGACUCCUACGGGAGGCAGCAGUGGGGAAUUUUGGACAAUGGGCGCAAGCCUGAUCCAGCCAUUCCGCGUGAGUGAAGAAGGCCUUCGGGUUGUAAAGCUCUUUCGCAAGGGAAGAAAACUUAUCCUCUAACAUAGGAUGAGGUUGACGGUACCUUGAUAAGAAGCACCGGCUAACUACGU
rnacentral:rRNA from 1 species